rnacentral:rRNA from 1 species
UACGUAGGGUGCAAGCGUUGUUCGGAAUUAUUGGGCGUAAAGAGCUCGUAGGCGGCUCGUCGCGUCGGCUGUGAAAACCCGGGGCUCAACCCCGGGCCUGCAGUCGAUACGGGCGGGCUAGAGUCCGGUAGGGGAGACUGGAAUUCCUGGUGUAGCGGUGAAAUGCGCAGAUAUCAGGAGGAACACCGGUGGCGAAGGCGGGUCUCUGGGCCGGAACUGACGCUAAGGAGCGAAAGCGUGGGGAGCGAACAGG